GGAAUCUUGCGCAAUGGGCGGAAGCCUGACGCAGCAACGCCGCGUGCGGGAUGAAGGCCUUCGGGCUGUAAACCGCUUUCAGCAGGAACGAAAAUGACGGUACCUGCAGAAGAAGGAGCGGCCAACUACGUGCCAGCAGCCGCGGUGACACGUAGGCUCCAAGCGUUGUCCGGAUUUAUUGGGCGUAAAGAGCUCGUAGGCGGUUGAGUAAGUCGGGUGUGAAAACUCUGGGCUUAACCCGGAGACGCCAUCCGAUACUGCUCUGACUAGAGUUCAGGAGGGGAGUGGGGAAUUCCUAGUGUAGCGGUGAAAUGCGCAGAUAUUAGGAGGAACACCGGUGGCGAAGGCGCCACUCUGGACUGAAACUGACGCUGAGGAGCGAAAGCAUGGGUAGCAAACAGGAUUAGAUACCCUGGUAGUCCAUGCCGUAAACGGUGGGCACUAGGUGUGGGUUCCAACUAACGGGAUCCGCGCCGUCGCUAACGCAUUAAGUGCCCCGCCUGGGGAGUACGGUCGCAAGACUAAAACUCAAAGGAAUUGACGG
rnacentral:rRNA from 1 species